rnacentral:lncRNA from 1 species
UGGAGACUGAACAGAAGUCAGCAGUGUGUCCUUGUGCAUUAGAAGAUAACUCUGUGCUGAGCCAAGGGCAUGCUGGACAUUAAUGAUUCUUCCUCAUUGUUCAGUUAUUGUGAGAGCAUUAUCUGGAGAACUCUGUGAAGUGUUAGUUCCCCAGUACAAGAAAGUCAUUGACAUGCUGGAGCAAGCUGGUGCAAGGAAGAUGGUCAAACAGAGGAAAACUCACCCAGGAAGGAGGCUCUGCCCUUCAAGAUAUUCAGUACACAAUUGGGAACUUCAGAAGUAUCUGUAGGAAAGGGAAGAGUAAGGACAAUAUUUUCA